rnacentral:rRNA from 1 species
UACGUAGGGUGCAAGCGUUGUCCGGAAUUAUUGGGCGUAAAGAGCUCGUAGGCGGUUUGUCGCGUCGAAUGUGAAAACCCGGGGCUCAACCCCGGGCCUGCAUUCGAUACGGGCAGACUGGAGUUCGGCAGGGGAGACUGGAAUUCCUGGUGUAGCGGUGAAAUGCGCAGAUAUCAGGAGGAACACCGGUGGCGAAGGCGGGUCUCUGGGCCGAUACUGACGCUGAGGAGCGAAAGCGUGGGGAGCGAACAGG